rnacentral:lncRNA from 1 species
ACUUUUCACUGUCCGAAGGUUCAAAGGUCAUCUUUUGUACAACGGUAUUCAUAUUUUUGGAACAAAACAACGCUUUACAGAAAACAUUUGCAAGGAUAUUAGCAUCAAUUCUUAAAAGGACGUAUGCACCAUUUUUAAGAAAGGAAACGUAAAAUAUAUCAAGGUUACUGGUGGUGAAAAUGAGCUGAAAAGAAAGAAACAGACCAGUAGUAAUAAAGAAAUCACAGCUGAGGUUGCUGUGAUUGAAUGGACAAAGAAAAGGGUGUUUAUUUGAAUUCUUGCUGAUAAUGGUAAAUGGAGUUUUCAAAAAGGCCAGUUGGAUGCGGUUUCAAUAUAAAUUUUGCAUUGCGAAAGCUUAACAAGAAAGAUGAACUUGAAAUUGACUUCAGUUAUAUGAUACCUAAUUUUUGUGAGAAAAUCAACAGAGACACAAAUUUAUUGGCGGAGACGGAAAGGGACUAUACCAUCAAACGUGUAACAGCUUACUUUACUCUAAGUAAAACACUGUUUGUUUUAAUUUAUGGACCACAAUGAACAUAUGUUAUGAUCCGUAAUUGUGGCAUGUAUGCAAUUUUGCGUUUUGUUCAUAUCUGAUUCAUUUGAUUGAUAUUAUUGUGUUGUUUUAGAUGCUGUAUUGUAAACUUCUAUAUAACAAAAACUGAAUACAAAAUCUCUUGCACCAUUUAUAUAGUAAUUUGCCUUAUUAAUUAUAAAUGUCUACAUCUGAAAGGAACGAAAGUAAAUCAUUCUGCAAAUGUUGUAGCUACUUCUAAAACUAAAUGUAUUCAAAAUACCGUUUCCACGUAAUAUUUCUGUUUUAGAACUCAUUUAAAUAGAACAUUAGAAAUCUAAUAUAUGAUU